rnacentral:rRNA from 1 species
ACGCUCGACACCUACGGGACGCAGCAGUGGGGAAUAUUGGGCAAUGGGCGCAAGCCUGACCCAGCAACGCCGCGUGAAGGAAGAAGGCUUUCGGGUUGUAAACUUCUUUUGUCAGGGAACAGUAGAAGAGGGUACCUGACGAAUAAGCCACGGCUAACUACGUGUCAGCAGCCGCGGUAAUCUGAGCGGGCUGGCAAGGC